rnacentral:rRNA from 1 species
AAUAGAUACCCGGUAGUCCACGCCGUAAACGAUGAGUGCUAGGUGUUGGGGACUCCAAUCCUCAGUGCCGCAGCUAACGCAAUAAGCACUCCGCCUGGGGAGUACGGCCGCAAGGCUGAAACUCAAGGAGUUGACGGGGACCCGCACAAGCGGUGGAGCAUGUGGUUUAAUUCGAAGCAACGCGAAGAACCUUACCAGGGCUUGACAUCCCUCUGACCCCUCUAGAGAUAGAGGUUCCCUUCGGGGCAGAGGUGACAGGUGGUGCAUGGUUGUCGUCAGCUCGUGUCGUGAGAUGUUGGGUUAAGUCCCGCAACGAGCGCAACCCUUGUCCUUAGUUGCCAGCAUUGAGUUGGGCACUCUAAGGAGACUGCCGUCGACAAGACGGAGGAAGGUGGGGAUGACGUCAAAUCAUCAUGCCCCUUAUGUCCUGGGCUACACACGUGCUACAAUGGAUGGUACAACGGGCUGCGAACUCGCGAGAGUAAGCUAAUCCCAAAAAACCAUUCUCAGUUCGGAUUGUAGG